UCGCGGCUUAUCACCGGCAGUCGCCUUAGAGUGCCCAACUGAAUGAUGGCAACUAAGGCCGAGGGUUGCGCUCGUUGCGGGACUUAACCCAACAUCUCACGACACGAGCUGACGACAGCCAUGCAGCACCUGUGUUCCGGUUCCCUUUCGGGCACAGCCCCAUCUCUGAGGCCUCCAGGACAUGUCAAGGGUAGGUAAGGUUUUUCGCGUUGCAUCGAAUUAAUCCACAUAAUCCACCGCUUGUGCGGGUCCCCGUCAAUUCCUUUGAGUUUUAAUCUUGCGACCGUACUUCCCAGGCGGCAUGUUUAACGCGUUAGCUUCGCCACAAAAGGGGUCGAUUCCUCUUACAGCAAACAUGCACCGUUUACGGCUAGGACUAC
rnacentral:misc_RNA from 1 species